rnacentral:rRNA from 1 species
GACGAACCGUGCGAACGUUGUUCGGAUUCACUGGGCUUAAAGGGCGCGUAGGCGGCUUGUCAAGUCAGGGGUGAAAUCUUUCGGCUUAACCGGAAAACAGCCCCUGAUACUGAUAGGCUAGAGGGAGGUAGGGGCAUGUGGAACUCCAGGUGGAGCGGUGAAAUGCGUAGAUAUCUGGAGGAACGCCGGUGGCGAAAGCGACGUGCUGGAUCUCUUCUGACGCUGAGGCGCGAAAGCUAGGGGAGCAAACGGG